CGUAACAAGGUUUCCGUAGGUGAACCUGCGGAGGAUCAUUG
rnacentral:rRNA from 1 species